ACAAAAGACUUCUUCAAUGAGUGUCAUGUGUGGGGCAACUUGCUGUACACGUGGAAUUGACAUCAAGAGAUUUCAGAAGCAUAAUAUUUUGGCAGUCGGUAACUAGUGAUCGUUGGUCCCAACAUCCCA